rnacentral:misc_RNA from 1 species
GUUAACGAUAAUAGGGAAUGCACCGCUCAGGCUACAGGUUGAGGUUGGUGGCAAGCACCGGACAAACCUCCAUCCACGCGCGAGCGAGCGUGACCCCACAACUCCGUUGCCAGCCAGCCGCGAUGGCAACUGGUAGGCGGAGCGGCGAGGAGGGGCCAAGUGCCCGGAGGAUUGCAACCGGCGGGGGUAGCGACAGCCAGAGCCAUACUGCCGCAGCCACGGAGGCCGCAACGGAACGCGCACGUGCUAGUAGCAGCAAGUGGUGGUCGUCGAGCAAAAGCAGCAGCAGACGACGACGACGACGACGACGAGGAUACCGUUAGCCGCGCUGCGGCGGCGGCGGCGGGGGGCACCGCUCGACCGACGACGGCGGCAAACGUUGCUGACACACUGCUACCGGUCAGGCGAGCUGCCGGUAGCGGCGUCUUUGCCGUUCGUCAACUAGCGGUUCGCCGCGUGGCUCCACCCGUACGUCUCCUCGAUGUU